GUCACUUUAGUUCAGUGGUAGAACGCUCGCACGCCGAAAGGUUUCGGCGUCGGGAGGCUGUGGGUUCGAUUCCCGUGAAGUGCUA